rnacentral:rRNA from 1 species
AGCUCCAAUAGCGUAUAUUUAAGUUGUUGCAGUUAAAAAGCUCGUAGUUGGAUCUUGGGUCGUAAGGGUCGGUCCGCCUACUCGGUGUGCACCUGCCCUUCCGUCCUUUUUGUCGGCGGCGUGCUCCUGGCCUUAAUUGGCUGGGUCGCGGUUCCGGCGCUGUUACUUUGAAAAAAUUAGAGUGCUCAAAGCAAGCUUAUGCUCUGAAUACAUUAGCAUGGAAUAACGUGAUAGGAGUCUGGUCCUAUUGUGUUGGCCUUCGGGACCGGAGUAAUGAUUAAUAGGGACUGUCGGGGGCAUUCGUAUUUCAUUGUCAGAGGUGAAAUUCUUGGAUUUAUGAAAGACGGACCACUGCGAAAGCAUUUGCCAAGGAUGUUUUCAUUA